rnacentral:lncRNA from 1 species
AGAAAGAACAAACAUAAAUAUUUGAUUAUUCUUCUACCCUCCAUGCUAGAAUUGAAUGUGUCUGAAGAAAAGCAACAUUGGCAUAUGCAAACGGGAACCCCUUUUUAGAGAACCCCAUGCAGCUUAUGUACAUAGAAUCAGCUAGAAUCAAAACGUGUAGCAUCAUCACAAUACAUCAUUUUUUCCUAUCUGCUUGGAGAAGGAAAACUUUUCCCCCCAUUGGAUUCCCCCAUUAGAACCCCAAAGCACAUAAAAUAAAAGCCUGACUAGAUAACCUUAUCCUCGCUUAUUAUGCAUCUUCUUCGGGUCUUCCUGCUCUGCAUCUACUAAGCCUACUUUACAUAUGCUUAAAAAAAACCUGGAAAGGGAAGAAGAGUGGUCUUGGUGCCUUUUUUCUUUUUUCUUUUUUUUCAAAACCUUUCAAUAUUUACUCGUGAUAUCCUUUAGCAAAAGAAAGUUGAGGCGUGGCAUGGCAUGGCAUAUCUACACGGGAACCACAUCUUUAUUAUAAAUCUGUAAAUCUAUAAAUCUGUAAGCAGGGAGGAGUAUAUAAAAUUUGUACUAAGUACAAAACUUGAUGGCAAAAGUACAAUAAAUCUUAUGAAGUUGGAGAACUGAAAGGAUAACCAUGUAUUGUCAAAAGAAUCGAGUUGAAUAAAUUACGUGAUCCAGGGUAAUUUAAGAAAUUUCAAUUUGCUACUAUAGUUAAUUGGGACUAAGCAAACGCAUUGCUACUAAGCAACUCUUUGGAGAGACUCCAAAGAGAAUCCAUAAAGAGCAUGAAACUCGAAUGUUUUGCGGUUCUAGAAGUCCGUGAAUCAUUCUCAAAAUAUCAUUGUUAUGAUGUUAAGAGAGUGUUACUGAUAAAUUUUGCGUGUCAUUCUUGUGUUGAAUCUUGAGAAAAAUUAGUGGUGAUAAAAUUUGAUACAAUUUAUCAAUAUUAUUCGAAUUUGACACAUUUUUUGUAAAUUUAGAUUGAUUAUAAUAUUAUUUAAUUAAAUUCGUGUCGACCUAUAUAACUUAUUUAAUAAAUAGAUUAUUUUCUUUAUCAACCUAUAUGACAUGAAUUUGACCCAAAAUGACCUAUUUAAUAACCGUGUUGAUUAAUCAAAUUAUAAUCAUAACCAAUUUAGCUUAUAUUUGAUUGAUUUAAAAUUUGAUUUUGAAUAAAUAGGUCAAUCGGCUAAUAAACAUGUUAGGUUGAGAUGUUAAUCAUAUUGGCUGAAACAAAGAUCUAGUUCGACUUGAUUAUUAAAUGAGACUUAACUAUUAAAUGAGUUAUAUAAUAUAUUACCUGUUUAGUAAUUAGCAUGUUUGGUUUAUAUUUUAAUUUGAUUAUUAUUUGAUUUGUGCUUAAGUUGACCUAUUUAGUCCAAUGCAUGAGUUUUGACAUAUCACAAACACAAUUCACCAACAUGAAUUGUCACCCCUAAAACAAUAAGAGAUUUAUGUAAAUUGAUACAUUUCUAGUAGGGAUGGCAACGGGACGGUUUCAUGAUAGGUCAUCAUCCCAAUCCUGCCUUGUUUAUUCAAAAUAUUUUUCAUCCAUGUCUCAUUAAAAGAAUUAAAUGGAGCUGGGAGGGGCGGCGUGAGUAUGCAAAUUUCUCAUACUCAUUCCGUACCGCUUCAUUUAACCUUUUAAAUAUAUAUAUAUAUAUAUUUCAAAAUAUUUAACUAUAUUAAAAUAUUAUAGUUUUUUAUAACUUAUUUGAUUGAAAGGUAUUUUUUAUUAUUAUUAUUAUUAAAAAUAAGAAAAUAAAAAUUAAUUUAAUUUAAUUUUAAAAAUCAUUUUUAUAUAUAAUCAGGGUGAGGUAAGACAAGACAAUAUCCGAACUUGCCUUGAAUCCAUCAUAGAUUUAAAAAAAAAAAAAUCAAAUCCACCUUUAACCCUUUUAUUUAAAUUUCAAACUUGCCCCAUAAAGACAAGGCGAGGUAGGUACCGCCUCAAUGUCAUCAUUAAUCUCUAACCAAGAGUUUUAAAUUACACAUAUUCAUUCUCUUGCUAGGUAUCCUACAAAGUAUUAAAAAUCUCUUUUUAACGAGUAUUGGCAUAAGAAAUAAAGAAAUUUUUUUGUCAAAAACUCUUUAUACCAUCAAGACACAUCAAGAGGGUAUUGGAAAAAAAAAAUUGUCUUAAUGACUACAUUAACUUUACCUUGAUCAAACCAAGUGUCUUAACCAUAAGAUUCAUGAAUUCAUACAUGCAUGUUUGUGGUUCACAUUAAUGUAUUUUUAUGAUAUUAAUUGGAUUGAUCCUAAAAUAAAUAACUCAAAGGUCAAGUUCCAAAAUUUAUUAUUAAGAAUAAGAUAUGAAGAAUUGUCUAUUAUUGCACUGAUAAAAAAUUUGAUGUUUCAUAGUAGAAAUAAACAUAUAAGUAUCAAAUUCAUUAUAUUAAGGAACUCGUAAAAAAUUAUGAGAUUGAAUUUGGGCUUUGUAGAUCAAAAGAUCAAGUUGCAAAUAUUUUUAUAAAACUAUUAAAAAUUGAUGUGUUCAAGAAGUUGAAAAUGAUGUUUAGUGUGAUUGACCUUACAACUUAGUUUAAAGGAGAAUGUUGAAAUUAUAAUCUAACUUAAAGUCAAAUUAUAAGAAUUUUAGGAAUUUGAGAAACAUUAUAAAUUGUUUAUUUAGGUUUCUUACAUUAAUUAGGAUUUCUAUACUAAUAUGAAUUGGAAUCGUACACAAGUAUGAUUAAUAUAUUAUAAAUAAGUUUGUUAUUAUGUAAAAUAUAUAUAUAUAUAUAUAUAAUAAGAUAUUAUUUUAGCAAAAAUAUUAUCAAUACCCAAUCACGUGGCUUUAAGCAAGGAAUUGGGUCAUUGAGCUCACCACUCCUAUCUACACUACAAAACAAGAAGAUUAGCAAAGAGAGAACUUGUACCCACAGGUACAUGGGACUCUGAUUAAUCAUAGCUUUGAUAUAUAAGAAUCAAAAUGGUUUAGUUCUAGAAAUGGCUUUAUUUGAAUGCACGUUUUUUUUUUUUUUUUUUUUAAUGUUUUGAAAAAAUUAGAAGGUUUUAUAUAGAAAGUAAAAAAAUUUAUUCAAUAGAUAUAGAUUCACCUUAUAUCCUCAAAAAAAUUUUAAAAAUUGAAGUAAAAAACUUUCCAUAUCUCAAAUUUUUUAAGUAGUUUUUAAAAAUUAUUACAUUUUCAAUAGAAGCCCAUAAAGGUUUAAAUUACUUAUAUUUUCUAUUUUUAAUAAUUUAAGAAGAAGAAUUAUUUUAUUAAAAUAGAUGAAAUAAUCUUGAAUCAACAAAAUUAGCCUCUUCCAUAUUUAAACUUAAAAAAUAAUAUAUUUCAACAUAAAUACCCUUCAUUAUUAGGAUUAUUUUCAUAUAAAUUUUAGAAGAAAAUUUUACUUUUAUUGGAAAACAUGAAGAGUAUGUCUUUAAAAAAUUGAUCAAUUUUUUAGACUUUAUAUUUACAAAUUUGAAAUUAUUUUAUCUUUUUUUUAUCAAAUAACCCAAGAAAAAAAUAUAUAUAUAUGCAAAGGAACACCUAAAUUAUUAUUCUUCAACAACAAUUAGAAAAAGUUAAAGAUAUUCAAACAAAAGGUGAUAUACAUGUUUCGUGAAUCUAAAAUGACGAACUGAGAUGAUGUUUAUUUUUUUUACUUGCUUUUAAAUGAAAAUAAAAAUUAAAUAGUACUUAAUAGUGUUAAGUAUUAAAUUAUUUGUUUUCAUAAUAUUUUAUUUUUAUUAAGUAUUAAAAAGUAAAAAAAAAAAUCAACAUUUUAUUUUUUUUAUUUUUAAAAAAAAGUUAAAUAUUUUAAUUUUUUUGUUAAACCAAAAAUUUAAAAUAAAUUAUGAAAAAAAAAAACAAACAAACAACUUAAAAUUUGAAAACAAAUUACUGUCAACAAAAAACUAAAAAAAUAAAUACUUUUAAUUCCUAUUGUAAAACUUUAUUUGUGAGUAACCCUUAUAUUAAAUCAUUACCAUAUGUAAAUUUCAUUCUAAGGCACAAGAUUUAGAGUUGACAAAAUUAGUGUCUAAAAUAGUAAAAUGUCAACGAGUGACACGUCAGCUUUAGGCGACACAUCAUUUAAAAAAAAAUAGGAAAAAAAGGAACGAACAAACGAAAAGGAAACAAUGCAAGAAGCUAGCGAAGAGGUAGUCACAUCAAGAGUAGACGAAGAUGGUGGGUGAAGUGAUGAGCAGAGAGCUGGGAGCUAGGUUCACUUCCAGUGGAAAAUGUCCAAGCUCUUGCUUCGAGCAACUCCGAUGAUAUGCCACUCUGGUACCUCCGAUCGGAGCUCCAGUCAGAAGAAGUUUUGGUGGAUGAGUCUCUCCAAAUUCCUACCAUAGAUAUGAGGAAGCUCAUGGUUGAAGAUGAUGAAAUGGGAAAAGUUCAGUCGGCCUGUAAAGAAUGGGGUUUCUUUCAGGUAUAAUUAUUUUUAUAUAUUUGGUCGAUCCUUGGGAUUUUUGGCAAAUUCAUGUCUUGGGCUGCUUUUAUUUCUUUUAAUAUGUCUCUUGGCUCAAUGAGUACUUCAUUUUAACUGAUAUUGCAUAUAGAGUCCUGUAAACAAUUCUUUUUUGGGUUUUUAAGAAGGGAGGGAUUGGGUUAGAAUGCAUAUUCAUAUGCAGGGCUGAAAGAAAACAAAGUAGAACAAAGUAUUUUGGAAGUUUGGAAAUUUGUUGUGUAUUCAAUCUAUCAAUUAAGGGAAGAAGAUGCAUAUAUACAAAGCAUUGGUUAGCCUAUUCUAGGAAUCUAUGUGCAAACGUAUCAGUUACAAUCAAUAAAAAAUAAUCUUCUAUAUACAAUCAAAUCUCAUCCUCAAAUUAUGGGAUCCUUGAUUCUUUUCCCAUAAUACUCCCCCUCAAGUUGGAGCGUGUAUGUCAAGAACGCCAAACUUGUUGAGAAGGGAAUGAAAAAUUGAUGAACUGAGUGGCUUAGUGAACAAAUCAACAAGCUGGCAAGACAAUGGAACAUGAGCAAUUAUUAUGGCACCUGAUUGAAUUUAUUCUCGAACAACAUGGCAAUCGAUUUCUAUAUGCUUGGUACGUUCAUGGUAAAUUGGAUUAGCAGUAAUAUGGAGUGCUGUUUUUCUAUCACAGAAUAGUUUGGUUGCUUGCGAGUGUUCUACCUGCAAGUCAUCCAACAAAUACUUGAGCCAUGUAAGUUCACACGUAAUGGAAGUCAUUGCUCGAUAUUCUGAUUCAGCUAAUGACCUUGACACUGUUGUCUGUUUCUUGGUUUUCCAUGAAAUAAGAGUUUCUCUAAGAAAAAUGCAAUAUCCAAUCACAGAUCGUCUUGUGAUCGAACAUUGAGCCAAAUCUGCAUCGCAAAAUCCUCUUAGUAGCAAAUUUCCUUUGGCAGGAAAAUAUAAUCCUUGUUUAGGUGCACCUUUAUGAUACCGCAGAAGAUGAUGAACAACAUCCAAAUGAGGCUUUCUUGGUUCUUGCAUAAACUGACUUAAAAUGUGAACUGAAUAACUUAUCUCUGGCCUUGUAAUGGUAAGAUAAAUGAGUUGUCCGACCAAUCUUCUGUAAGUGGAUGGAUUCUUCAAUAAAUCUCCUACCGUGGGCAGGAGUUUAUUAUUUUCUUCCAUAGGUGUCGACAAUGGUUUGGCCCCAAGCAAGCCUGCUUCAUCUAAGAUAUCAAGAGUGUAUUUUCGUUGGGAUAUCGAAAUACCAUCAUUAGAACAAGCAACUUCAAUAUCAAGGAAAUAUCAUAAUUGACCGAGGUCCUUGAUGCGAAAUUUGGUGUGGAGAGACUCCUUAAGAGCUGCAAUUACAUUCUCAUCAUUGUCGGUGAUGAUCAUGUCGUCUACAUAGAUGAGCACAACUAUGAAAGAAUUACCAGAGAUCUUUGUGAAAAGUGAAUAAUCAGCCUUUGAUUGAUGGAAACCAUCUUGUUGAAUGGUGGUAGAAAAUUUCUGAAACCAACUACGGGAGGCUUUUUUAAGCCCAUAUAAUGACUUGUUGAGUCGACAUACCAUAAGUGUCUCUCCCUGUCGACAAAAAUCGGGCGGUAAUUGCAUAUAGACUUCUUCAAGAAAAUCACCAUGGAGAAAGGCAUUUUGAACAUCCAUUUGGUGAAGUGACCAGUGUCGGACAACAGCUAUAGCAAGUAAACAUCGAACUGUAGUUAACUUAGCCAUAGAAGAAAAGGUCUCCUUAUAGUCAAUCCCUUCGCGUUAAGUGAAGCCUUUCACCACCAACCGAGCUUUGUAUCGCUUAACUGUGCCAUCAGAGUUAUAUUUGAUCUUAUACACCCAUUUGCACUCAAUUGGACGAUGACUGGAAGGGAGAGGUGUGAGUGUCCAAGUGUGAUUUUGUUCAAGAGCAUGGAGUUCUACAACCAUAGCUUCCUGCCAUUUUGGAUCCAAUACUGUUUGUUCAUAAGUUGUAGGUUCCACAAGAGUGGUGAUGGCACAAACAAAAUUCUAAUAUUUUGGUGAGAGUUGUGCAUAGGAAAUAUACCGAGUCAAAGGGUGACGUGUACUUGACAAGGAAGAAGAUUGGCUGGAAGCAACCUUGGUUGUGUGGUAAAGAUGAAAAUUCCAGAGUUGGACAUUUGGUUGCUUGAUACGGUUAGAACGAUGAGUAACAGGAGGUGGAGGUGACACAAUGGUGUCAAGAUCAAGUGUACGUUCAUUAGAGGUAGACUCAGGAGAUGAAAGUAAGGGUGGUGGAGACAAAGAUUGAUCAUCGGCUUGGGGUUUGGUUGUCUUUGUGGUUAUGGGUUCAUAUGAGGUUUGUGGUAAAGGAAGAAUGACCAUAUCAUAUUGUUCUUCUUGUGGAUUAUUGUGGAAUGGAAAUAUAUGUUCAUGAAAGACAACAUCUCGGGAAGAAAAUAAUUUAUUAGUUUCAAGAUCAUAAACCCGAUAACCCUUUUGACCAAGAGGAUAACCAACAAAUGUGCAACGACAAGCUCUUUAAUCAAAUUUAUGUGUGGGUAAGAGAUUGGUGGCAUAACAAAGACAUCCAAAAGUUCAUAGAUGAUGAUAUGAAGAUAGCUUGUUAUAGAGAAGUUGGUAUGGCGAUUUGUGAGAAAGAAGGGGUAUAAGUAAGCGAUUGAUUAAAUAGCAAGCCAUUUGAACAGUUUCCCCAAAAAAUUUUAACAGCAAGUUUGCUUGAAAACGAAGAGCUCUUCCCACAUUUAAAAGGUGACGAUGUUUCCUCUCAACCACUCCAUUUUUUUGGGGGGUGUAAGCACAUGAAUGAUGGUAAUUGAUCCCCUUAGUAUCCAAAUACUGCUUCAUAGAGGAAAUUUUAGUCGCAUUAUCGGUUCAAAGAGUUUUAAUGCAACGAUUAAAUUGUGUUUCCACCCAAGAAAUGAAUGAUUACAAUAUUCCUUGUGUUUCAUAUUUAAAACUCAUGAGAUGUAUUCAAGUAUAGCGGCGGGUAUGAUCAUCAACAAUUGUUAGGAAAUAACGAGCCUUGGAAUGAGAAUUUAUUCGAUGUGGUCCCCAAAUAUCACAAUGUAUCAAAUCAAAAGGUGCGUGAGAAGAAAUGAAACUAGAUGAAAAGAACAAACGAGUUUGUUUGGCUAAAGGGCAAAUUUCAUAAACAUGCUUGGAAUCAAAAUAAAUUUCAGGAUUAAUUUUAGCAAGAACUUGAAGAGGACCGGAUGAUGGGUGCCCAAGACGUUGAUGCCAAAGAUCAGAAUGUUUGUGAAUGGUGUAAGCCAAGGCUGGAUUUUGGUCGUGUGCAAGGUAGUAGAGGCCAUUAUGUUGCUUACCCAGGCCAAUCGUCUUCCUCGUAGUAACGUCUUGCACAACACAAAAAUCAAAACUAUACAUUGUAAUGCCCGCGUUAGUUUACUAACUGAUAGUAAAUUAACUUGAAAUUGUGGAACUUUGAGUACAUCAUCAAGUUUAAUGUGAGGGGUAACAUGCAAUGAACCAAUUGACUCAAUAUGUGCUUGACCACCAUCUGGCAAACUAAUGGUAGUGGUCCUGAGCAAAUUUUUCGGAUCUAAUAAUUCAAUUGAGUAAGUUGCAUGAUCCGUGGCUCCACUAUCAAUAAUCCAACACAUAUUUGAGUGUGGCAAUCUGGAGUAAUUUUGGAUGAUGGCAUAUUUAUACUUGUGGCAUUUGCAAAAUGUUGUGAAUUACCACCAUUGUUUUUACGAAUCAUAACCAUUAAUUGGUUAUAUUCCUCAACUGUGAGCCUUGAUCCAUCACUUGUUGGAAGAAAUUUUGUUUCUAUCUCCACAGCCUUAUUUGUUUCCACUUUCACAUUGUUUGCAUUUGAGUGACGUUGAUUGGGAGGCUUCAGGUUCUUCCCAUGAAGCUUGUGGCCAAUUGGAAAGCCAUGUAGGUAGUAACACUUCUCAAUGCUGUGAUAAUCACGGUCACAAUAAAAGCAGUGCAGUGGAGUAUUUUGCUUUUGAACUUGGUGUGCUAAAGUUGCCUUAUUGUCCCGAUCUGCAAGCAUGGCAUAACGAUUCUUGUUCCCAUGACUGAGAGAAACUUCAACCUGUUUUUCUUGUUGAAGGACAAGUGAGUAAACUCGACGUGUAUCAGGUAGAGGUUGCAUCAAUAAGAUUUGUCUACGAAUGACAGCAUAACUAUCAUUCAAUCCCAUGAGAAACUGCAUAACUCUUUUUUUUCAUCCAUUUCCUUAAGUUUCUCUAAUCCUCCAUAAGAGCAGAAUAACACUUCAUGAUAGGAUGAAAGUUUAUCCCAAAAAGCUUUAAGCUUUGUGUAAUAAACCGAAAUUGAUUGCUGCCCCUGCUUAUGUUCCACAAUGUCUCGCUUGAUCUAAUAAAUUCUUGAAUCUUUUCCUUGUGAAAAACGUUCUUGUAGAUCUGCCCAUAUUUAUGUUGCAGUUUCGGCAUAAAUCACACUGUUGGCUAUGUUUGGAUGAAUGGAAUUCAAUAACCAUGAGAUCACCAUAUCAUUGCAACGUUGCCAGGAAGGAAAACUAUCAUCAGUCGAAGAGGGUGGCUUAAUGGAACCUGUGACAAAUCCAAUUUUGUCUUUAGCACUCAAACUGAUUCUCAUAGCCCGACUCCAUGUGCUAUAGUUAUCUCCUUCAAGUACCUUGGAGACAAGUACCAUACCCAGGUGGUUUGAGUGGUGUAGAGAGAAGGGGUCUAAAGCUUUUGUGAUAGCCUUCGAUGAUGUCAAUCCUGUUUUGUUGAUGUCCAUGGCAGUAGCUGUAACGAAGAAAUAGGUUGCGGAAGCGCUUGGAAGAAUUCAGAGUCACCAGGUUUGGUGCUCUGAUACCAUGAAAGAAAACAGAGUAGAACAGAGUAUUUUGGAAGUUUGGAAAUCUGUUGUGUAUUCAAUCUAUCAACUUAAGGGAAGAAGAUGCAUAUAUACAAAGCAUUGGUUAGCCUAUUCUAGGAAUCUAUGUGCAAACGUAUCAAUUACAAUCAAUCAAAAAUAAUCUUCUAUAUACAAUCAAAUCUCAUCCUCAAAUUAUGGGAUCCUUGAUUCUUUUCCCAUAAUAAGGGCUCAUGGUUUUGGUUAAGACUUUUGUAUGGAACCCCAAAGGUAGAACAUAUAGAGACUACCAAGAUGUAGGAAUUUUCUACCAUACAUCCAUGAUAUGGUGAACUUGAAGCUGAGUUCGUUGGAUGGUUUUACUUUAUCCCUUAAUGGGUUGCUGUCUUAUUCUAAAUUGAGCAUAUAUUGUCAUCAAACAGUUAAUAAAUCAUGGGGUAGCAGAAGAAGUAAUUGAGAAAAUGAAGGCAGUUGUUCAAGAGUUCUUUAAAUUGCCACUAAAGGAGAAGAAUGCAUAUGCAAAACUACCAAAUGGGGUUGAAGGUUAUGGCCAACACUUUGUUGUUUCCCAAGACCAGAAGCUGGAUUGGGCUGAUAUACUUUUUCUUCAAUGCCUGCCAGCCUCCGAAAGAAAAAUGAGGUUCUGGCCUCAAGAACCCAUUUCUUUCAGUUAAAUAGAUUAACUCCUCUGAUUACAUGAAUUCUUUUUAUUAAUUUUUUCUACAGACUUUACCGUAUGCUUGGCACAUUGCUUAAGUUUCCACCUUGUAAACCAGGGCAACCUUAGACAAGUAUUCAUCAGAGCUCCAAAAAGUUUCAAUCUGCCUUUUGGAGUUGAUGGCUAAGAACCUUAUGAUUGAUCCUGGGCAGCUCAUGAAUAUGUUUCAAAAGGGAAGACAACAGAUAAGAAUGAAUUAUUAUCCCCCUUGUGUGCAUGCAAGCAAGGUUAUAUAUUUGUGGACUUACCCUUCUUGUUCAAGUCGAUGAAGUACAAGGCUUGCAAAUAAAGAGAAAUGGUAAAUGGAUACCGAUAAGGCCUGUCCCUGGUGCAUUCAUCGUCAACAUUGGCGACAUUCUUGAGGUAUUAAUAUGGUCAUUGGCAACCUGAAAGUUGGACGAGUAAAAUAAUUUAUGGUUUCAUUGAUUGUGAGCAGAUAAUGAGCAAUGGGGAAUACAAGAGCAUAGAGCAUAGAGCGGUGAUGAACCCAGAGACGGAACGCCUCUCCAUUGCAACAUUCUGUUCUCCGAGUGUUGAGACAAUCAUUGGUCCUUUACCAGAGCUUACAAAGGAGAAUAAUGGUGCAAUCUAUAAAUCUGUAGACUGGGAUGAGUAUUUAAAGUUUGCACUAAGUAGGGAACUUGAUGGUAAAAGUGCAAUCAAUCAUAUGAAGUUGGAGAACUGAAAGACCAAUGAUAACUUCCAUUGCCUGAGAACUUUGUUUGGUGAUUCAUGGACUUUUAUGGGCCAAGGCUAUUUUGGCCUUUAAACUGUGUUGUUUUACAUUAUUAAUGCUUAAUGCCUUCACUUGAUUGAUAAAGCUUGAAGAAAUUAACAAAAUAUCCUCAUCACUUUAAAAUAUUUAACACCGGGAAUUUUUCUACAAUAUGACAUAUCACAAUCACUCCCCAUAUAGAUAGGAAUGACAACGGGGCAGGUUCGGGAUGGGUCGCCCCCCUCCCAACCCUGCCCUGUUUAUUAAAAAAAAUUCUCAUCCCCAUCUCCUUCCCAUACCCGUCCCGCCCUACCCCGUUUAGCUUUUUUUUAAAAAAAUUACUUUUAAAUUUUUUAAUUACAUUAAAAUAAAUAUAUUUUAAAAUUUUAUAUGUAAACGGGGUGGGAUGGGGCAAUACCCGAACCCGCCCCGGGUUUAAAAAAAAAAUCUCAUACCUGUUCCAAACUCGUUUAUUAAAUUUAAACUCCGUCCCAUUAGGGGCGAAGCAGGGCAAGGCGGGGCGAGUAUCCGAAAAAACCCGUCCCGUUGUCAUCCCUACAUAUAGAGACAAUAUCCUUGUUGUGUCACACAAAAGGGUUGAGGAUUAGUUCUAAUUAUACCAUUAUAAUGGCCGAACCUCUCCCGAUAAUGUAAAUAUUAUCCACUUUGGAUCCAAAGGGUCCUCACAACAUUUAAAUGUAUUUAUAAGAUUAAAAGAAAUUCAAACAUAUAUAUGACACUAAAACCUUUUUUUCAUAUCCGAUGUAAGAUAUCACAAUUUAUAACCAUAGAUAUGUACAAUCAAAAUCAAACAUGAUACAUAAAAAGUAUUAAAACUUUCCACAAAAGAUCUUACUCUGUAUUGAAAUAAAAUUAUAGAACUUCACUAUAGUUUACUUCAAUCCUCACUUUCUAGACAAUGGUAACAUUGUUUUUCCACAAUUCUCUUAUAUUAGUGGUACAAGCAUCCAUCCAUUUUUAAAUAAAAUAUACAUAGAAUUAAAAAUAUAUAUUUUUAGUGUACUUUUUUUGUACUUAUUAAAAAACACCACCAAUAAAGUGGUACUAUGCAUCCAACUCGACUCUCAUUGCCUUGUACUUGAGUUUUAUUCCUUUGUACGAUAAUUAAAGUCUCAUUGUUUUGUAUCUCAAUUAUAUUUAUUUAUAUUUUGACCUUAUUCUUUAUUAUUUUAGGUUCAUUUAUUUGUAUUUUAAUUUUAUUUAUUUGUACUUUUAUUUAAUGAUCCAAAUUUUAUUAUAUACUUUUAAUGUCAUGAUUCAAAGUUUAGUACCUUCAAAAUUUUCAACAAAUAUAAUACUUUGGCACAAUCAAAAUGACAACUAAUUUUGAGUGAGCCUUUUUCCAAUGACAGGAAGGUCCUUAUGGCUUUCAAUCUAAAUUUUUCAUUCCAAAAUCAUUGUGAAUAUGUUGACAAGCAUAUUUUGAAAAUAAAGCAAAACAAAUUUAAAACAUAAUUAGGUCAUUGAACUCAUCAACCAUAUCUCCAUCGCAAAAUCAAAAGAUUAGCGAAGAAAAAGAAUCUCUAUUUACACUAUAAAGCAUAAAGAUUAGUAAAAAGGUAACUUGUACUCAAGAUUGCGCAAGAACUUUGAUUAAUCAUUGCUUUGAUAGGUAAGAAUCAAAAUUAGGAUGAAUGAUAUGGGGUUUUUUUUUUUUUUUUUUUGUAUUAUUACAUUUGUUUUCAAAAGAAAAUUUUGAAAAUUUGAAAAUUAUGAGAAAUAUAACACUACUCAUGUCAAAAUUAUCUCUAUAUAAAUUUAUAAAUUGUCUCUAUAUUAAAAUCUCAUUUUCAAAAAGACAAGUUACCUUAUAACUAUUCAUCUUAAAAGACAAUUUUAAUACAAAUUUAAAUUGUGCUCAUGAUAAAAUCUCAUUUUGAAAAAUCGGUUUUUGCAUGUAAAAUUAUAAUUUUAAAGGAUGAUUUUAGAAGCAUGAUGAUAUUUUUCUAAAUAUUUUAUGAACACUAUUUUUUUAAAAUAUGUCUUAUUAAAUAAAUUUUAAAUAUUAAAAAAUUGAAAAAAAAAAAAAAAAAAAAACCCUGGUCCCAAAGCCUCAACAACAGUUCUUUAACAUAAUAUUAAAAGAUUUUCGACUGCAAAUUUGAAAAUUAAAUUCAAAGUUUUUUUCAGCAACUUUGAAUGAAGGCUCUUCAAUCUAAAGUCAAGGUCUUAAAUGAGCCUUGGUUUUUAGGUGCACGAAUCUUUAGAUUUUUUCUGUAUCUCGCAAGCAAAACAUCAGCUUUAGGUAACGCGUCGUUUUCAAAGAAAAUAAAGCAAAACAUGUGUAUGAUGUAUAAUAUACAAUAAUGAGAAACCCUGUGGAGACAACAAAUGGUGGGUGAAGAAAUGAGCACAGAGUCGGGAUUCUUUCUUCCAGUUGAAAAUGUCCAAGCUCUCGCUUCCAACAACUCAGGUGAAAUACCAAGCCGGUACCUCCGGCCGGAACUCCAGUCAGAAGAAGUUUUGGCGGACGAGUCUAUCCAGAUUCCCACCAUAGAUAUGAGGAAGCUCAUGGUUGCUGAAGAUGAGAUGGGUAAACUUCACUAUGCCUGUAAAGAAUGGGGCUUCUUCCAGGUACAAUCCUUAUCCUUAUCUCUUGGGAUUCUUAUAGAGUUCCUGUUUUGAGCUGCAUCCCUAGUUUUAUCCCUUGGAAUUUGUGUUUUGGCUGCAAAAGAUCCACAUGAAAUUAAUUUAUGAUAUUUUGUUCUAAUCUAUCUUGAACAAUAAGUGCUGAAAAUUUCUCAUUUCAAUUUCUCUUAGAUAGAGACUUUAUUACUAUUUAGAUCAUGUCAACAUAAUUAGAUCUAAACCACCUUGGUGAAAAAUAAAAAAUCUUUAUUAUUCUGGGUAAUUAUUGAAAGUGUAAAUUAAAAUCAUUGAAGUCAGCUAUAGCCGAGUCUGUUGGAUAGUUUUAUCUUAUACCUUAAUGGGCUACUGUCUUAUGUUAAAUUGAGCAUAUUGUCAUCAAACAGUUGAUAAAUCAUGGGGUAGCAGAAGAAGUAAUUGAGAAAAUGAAGGCAGACCUUCAAGAGUUCUUUAAAUUGCCACUAAAGGAGAAGAAUGCAUAUGCAAAACUACCAAAUGGGGUUGAAGGUUAUGGCCAACACUUUGUUGUUUCCCAAGACCAGAAGCUUGAUUGGGCUGAUAUACUUUUUCUUCAAUGCCGGCCAGCCUCUGAAAGAAAUAUGAGGUUCUGGCCUCAAGAACCCACUUCUUUCAGGUAAAUAGAUCUACUCCUUUUAUUACAGUAUGCUUGGCACACAUUGCUUAAGCUUCCACCUUGUAAACCAGGGCAACCUUCGACAAGUAUUCAUCAGAGCUCCAAAAAGUUUCAAUCUGCCUUUUGGAGUUGAUGGCUAAGAACCUUAAGGUCGAUCCUGGGCAGCUCAUGAAUAUGUUUCAAAAGGGAAGACAACAGAUAAGAAUGAAUUAUUAUCCCCCUUGUGUGCAUGCAAGCAAGGUUAUAGGUCUCACUCCCCACUCAGAUAUUUGUGGACUUACCCUUCUUGCUCAAGUCAAUGAAGUACAAGGCUUGCAAAUAAAGAAAAAUGGUAAAUGGAUACCGAUAAGGCCUGUCCCCGGUGCAUUCAUCGUCAACAUUGGCGACAUUCUUGAGGUAAUUAACCCUAAAUGUCCUAAGUAACAUUACCUUGUAUUAAUAUGGUCAUUGGAAACCUGAAAGUUGGAGGAGUAAGAUAAUUUAUGGUUUCAUUGAUUGUGAGCAGAUAAUGAGCAAUGGGGAAUACAAGAGCAUAGAGCAUAGAGCGGUGGUGAACCCAGAGACGGAACGCCUCUCCAUCGCAGCAUUCCAUUCUCCUAGUGUUGAGACAAUCAUUGGUCCUUUACCAGAGCUUGUAAAGGAGAAUGGUGCAAUCUAUAAAUCUGUAAGUAGGGAGGAGUAUUAUAAAUUUGCAUUUAGCAGGAAACUUGAUGGUAAAAGUAUAAUCAGUCAUAUGAAGUUGGAGAACUGAAAGACCAUGAUAACCAUGUAUUGUUGAAAGAAUUGAGUUGAAUAAUCAUGUGAUCAAUGGUGAUUUAAGACAAUUGCAAUUUGCUACUAUAGGUAAUUGGGACGAAGCUAACUCAUUGCUUUUUCCAAAGUUCGUCUUAUUCCUUUGCAGGUAAAGAUAAUUUAGACAAAUGCAUUCAAAAUUUGUGAUUAGCUACAUUUAAGAGUGUGAUUUGAGUGAACCCAUCCCAAUCCGAAUCCAAGUAACAAAUUUUCAAUACUUGGAUUGAAUUUGAAUUAGAUUUUUUCAACUCAAAAUCAAUACGAGUCAGACUUGAGCAACUCCAACAUAAUUUUUUUGGUUAUUUUUAAGUUUUAUCUAAUUUAUUAUUUAAAUUUUGAUACAAACAUGGAGAAAAAUUAAAAAAAAACACAAUGAAUUUUGAAUUAUGUAAUUCAACCAACUCCAACCAAUCUAAAUAACUCAAAUUUUAAAAAGUGAGGUUAAAAUGAACUUGGAUGAAGGCACUUUCAAAGGUAGGAUUAGGAGUUAAUUAUGUAUUAAUUUAGAUCAGACUUCAAUUACUCAUCAUCCUAACCAAACCACUAAUGUUGGAGUAUUGAAGUGCACCUGAGAUUGAUUCUAAAAAAACAUUUUUAACAUUAUUAACAUUUGAAUGAUUAAAAAUUUCAAGUGUUAAAAAAAUUAAAAACAUUUUUUAAAAUUAACAUCUUAUUUUAAUGAACUCAAACAAGCAAGUUAAAAUUAACCCAUUUGUAUUAUUUCUACAUCCGAUGACAUCAAGAUUCAAUGGUAAAUGGUUUUUUUAUUAAAUAAAAAAAAUUAAAUAUUUAAAUUUUUUUACUUAAAUAAAAAUAACCUAUUAAUUUUAAUAAAUAUAAUUAAAUUAAAAUAAUAAAUUUACUUUAACUAUAUUAAUUGAUAUAAUAAAUUAUUUUUAACUGAAUAAAAAAAAUUAAAAUAAAAAAUUAAAUAUUUUAAUUUUUUUUAUUCAGUCCAAAUGAUGAUGAGGCAUUUGUUCUUCCAUCAUCUCAAUGACACAAAAUAUUAACAUUCAAAAUGAUCGUGGAAGUUAUUCAACGUAAAAAAGAAAACAAAAUUUUCUUUGUCAGUGGUCGGUCCUAAGGGCCUGAACCAAGGUGUCAUAGUUUCCCUGGAAGGGAUUGUAGUUGCCUAGUGCCUACUACUUGCGUUGUUCUUGCGAUUUUAUUUGCAUAUACUAAAUAUUUUCAUUAUUUAGACGAGUAUUUGUACCAAACCCAAAUAUUAGAAUGAUAAAAUUAUAAAAUUAAUGAUAAUUCAAAUAAAAAAUAAUAAAAUUUCAUUUCUUUCCUUUAUGAUAUAUAUUCUUAAUAAUUAAAUAUUAUAAUUUUACUAUUUAAUAAAAAAAAACAUAUUAGUAUAAAUUAAUUUUAACAAUAACAAAAAGAAAAAGGAAAAAAAAAGGGGGCAUCAGUUCUCCAAGGUGAAAUAGCAUCAAUGGAAAAAUUCAGACGCAAAUUACCCAUUACUUCAUGAGAUUCAUCACUUGCCCCUGCCAAACUCAAUCGCCAAUACUCAAAGAAAUAACAAAAACACUUUCCCUUUCAUCAAUUUCACGAAAAAACCUUCAACAUUCAUCAGAAAAAAUCAGAAAAAACAAGGUAAAAAAUCAUGAGAGUAUAUGUGAAAGAAAGAAAUAAUAAUGAGAUGUGGAUGUGUGGGAUGUAGAAGGCGAUCAGAACCUGUCGGGAUUCAUUGUUUAACAUCAUCUGAUGUUGAUAUCAGUGGAUUGACAGACCAAUGAAUUCUAUCGUCACCUCGCUUUUUCCAAUCUCAAACCACACACAACAUUCCCAAAAUCAACGAAUGAGUUUUCGAAAAAACAGAUCUAAAAUCAAAACUCCAGCAUAUACGAAAACAUGUAAAGAAAAGAAAAAAAGAAGCUCAGAACUUCUUAGAGGGUUGUGUUACCAUCACAGACCAACUCCGAAGAGAGUCUUUGGUACACAAGACUAGAUUUUCAUCAUUGCAAUAGCUACCAGAACUAGCAUUCGAAGAAGAAGGCAGAAACUAGCAUUUGAAGAAGAAGGCAGAAACUGGCCUAUGAAGAAGGCAGAGAGGGGAAAGAGAAGCAAGGAAAGGAGGCUGGUGUGGUGAGUGGUAGACGAGAGGAAGUGCAGGGAGAAAGGGCCUUUUUAUAGGACAAACCCUAACCCUAAUUUCAUGUCUUGAGAUUAAUGAAGGGAAAUUGUCCCAAAUGGAAUUUAUUUUGGGUUUUCUGUAUACAAAAUUAAACGGUGACAGAAUUAGCUUACUAAAAUUCAUUUUCUGACAUUUGGAAAAUACUUUGCAACAAUUUGGGGAUGAAUAUUUUAUUUUCAUCCCUACUCCCGAAUUUGGUCAUUUCUAGGUAGGAAUGUAAGAUUGAAAUUAUAAUUUGUUUUCAUUUUAAUAUUAAGUAAAAAUAAAAAUAAAAAUAACAAAUAUAUAUAUAUAUGUCAAUAAUAUCUAUGAUUUAAAAUAAUUUUUUUUAUUUAUUUUUAAAAAUAUCUUAGUAUAUAAUUUGAAAAUUUUUCUUUAUUUUUAUUUAAAAAAACACUUUAAAGUUUUUUUUUGUUAAAUAAUAAAAAUUUAUUUGGACGUGUGAUUUAAAAACAAAUUAUUUUUAAAAAAUUAUGUCACUAUUUGAUUGUUGUUUUUAAAAAAUAAUUUUUAAAAAUAAAGUAAAAUAAAGAAUUGAAUUUAUUAAUGAGUUUAAUAAUUUAAAUAAAUAAAUAAAACUCAAAAAAAUAUUUAUAAUGACUAUAAAAAUAAUAAACAUAAUUAAUAUUUUAAUUUUUUUUAAUAAAUCUUGUAAGUUUUAAGUAUAAUUUGAAAUUAAAAAAAAUGAUUAAUUAAUUUUAAAUUAAAUAAAAUAAUUCAGAAUGUCUUAUUCGUGAUUAAGUUGGCUCAUUUAUACCUUAAAAAAUUAAAUUUUAUUUAUUUUUAUAUUCAUUUAAAAUAGAAUAGUAUUUGCAAUUAUUAAAUUUUGAAUAGUUAUUCUUUAUUUUUAACAAAAUAAAUUAAUUAUGUUUUAUAAGAUGUUAUUAUUCAUAUUUUUAUAAUAUUUGUAAAAUAAUAUAAAUAGUAUUAGAAAUUAUUAAUUUUUAACUAUUAUUAUUUAUUUUAACAAAAUAGAUCAAUUAAUGUUAAUAUCUAUAGUUUUAUAAUAUUUAUAAAAAUAUAAUUUAUGAUUUUAUUAUAUUAUUAAUAUCCAUAUUUUAUUAAAACCUAUUUAUUUUUAAUUUAUUUGUAAUUAUUUUUUUUUUAAUAAGAUGUGAAUUAAACUUAGUUUACAUUAUACAAAUUGAAUUUACAAUUUCGUUUUUGACAAAAUCAAAAUAAAAAAACAGUUUUUAUAAAACAAUUUAUCUAAAAAGUCUUUAAUUUUUUAUUUUUGAAAAAUAUUUUUAAAAAUAACUUAUACUAAGGAAUCAAAAAUACCUCAUAGGAUAAAUUUCAUUUCCAAUUGAAUCAUUUUUUAUUCCACUCUCAUCAUCUUCAAGUCAUCCAAACUUGGGAAUAAAAGAAGAAAAUGAAUAAAUUGUCAAUUCUUACUCCUCAUUUCUGCACAUCAAACACAACCUAAAAGGAUUGUUGAGCAAAUUUCUAAAUUACUCUUGAGAACGUAGACACAUUUUAUGAGUAAAAAAUGUUCAAUGUUGUUUUAAAAAAAAAAUAUAUAUGUAGAUAGCUAAGGUGGCAAUUAUUUCAUAGGAAGGAGAUCAAAAUAUGUCAAACUUUCAAAUAUGGUUUAUAAUUUGAAAACCCAAAAUUCCUAAAAUCUCAAAAUAUUUGUCAUUACCUUAAAUUUUAAAUUUUUUAUUUUUACUACUAUAGAUUUUAAAAUUUUUAAAUAUUUUAUUUUUUAAAGUAGAGAAUAAUGCUAAUUUUUCUAACUUAAGAAAUAAAGAUUCUCAUAUAAAAAAUAUAGACUUGGAUUACAAGGAAAAGUAAGAUUUGACUCAGUAAUAUGAAAAUAUAUGAAAAAAAAGAAUCUCAAAUUUUUUAAAUUAUCUUCAUCUAUAUAAAAAUAAUUUGAAAUACAUGCAUUUUUUAAUGAGUCAUCUAAUUAUUCCAAAAAAAUACCCCUUUACUUGUCAUAUCAUCUAAAUCAAUUGACAACUAGACUAUUCAUAUAGAUGUUUUCUUUCCUUUUCUUUUAAAUAUUUUAUUGUUAUUAUUUUUUUAUUUGAAUUUUUUUUUCUUUAGAAACAUUAUAAAGUAAGAAUUUGAAAAAAAAGAAAGUUUAUUCUAGUAUUAAUAAGUUAAAAAUAAAUUCAUAUUCUUGAUAAUAAAUAAACCAAUAAUAAAUUUGUAUUUGUUAUAUAAUAUUAAUAAUUGUAUGAUAUAAUAGAGAAUAAAAUUUGUUGUAAGAGUUUUUUAGAUAUAAAAUAUUUUACAAUAUAAUUGUACUUUGAUAUAUAGUAUAAAAUAAAUAAAUAAAUAAUUAUUUUAUAUUAAAUAAAUUAAUUAUAAUUAAAAUAUUUAUAUUUUAUUAAAUUUAUUGUUUAUUAUUUAAUAAAUAAUAUUAUUAUUUUUUUGAAUUGGUAAUUAUGAUUAAAUAAGAUUUGUUUGACAAUAUUUCCUCUUAAAAUUUUAGGAAAUAAAAAAAAAUUAAUUCUUAUUUAAAUAGGACUUUUUUUUUUGCACAAUAUUUCUUAAACUUUUAGGAAACUAAAAUAAGAAUCCUAUGAGAUGUUUGUUUCCAAAGAAAAAAAAAAUCUCAAAUAAUAAAAUAAUAAUAAUAAUAUAUUUUUAAAAAAAAAUUUAUAUGAAGGAGUGUAGUUGUGAAUUGAUUUGAAUGACAUGACAAACAAAAGAAUAUUUUUAAAAUAAUUGAAUGAUUCAUUAAAAAAUGCAUGUAAUUCAAAUUAUUUUUAAAUGUACAAAGAUAAUACUAAUUUAAAAUUUUCAGAGUUCUUUUUUUCAUAUAUUGUUAUAUUAGUGAAUUAAACCCUACUUUUCCUUGGAUUAUAUCUUUAAAAAUUACUUUAAAAAAUUUUUAACAUCCAUUUUAAAUUUUAUUUGAAAAAUAACAAUUUAAUUUUAUAUUAUUGGAUUUUUUAAAUUUUGAAAACAAAUUAUCGAUGAAAUGAUCUUGGGCGAUUUUGGUCGAACUUGCUGGGUUGAGAUAAUGGAAACUUGGAUUUCAAAAGAAUCGAAGUAAGAGAUAGUUUUCCAUUGAAUAAAAUGAAAGAGAGAUGCAAAAAGGAAAACAUGGGUUGACUAAACACUUCCACCACAUCUCAUAUCCUUAUACGCAAUUAUGUAAAAUACGUGAUCUUUAAGACUAACAUCAAAUUCACCUUCCCCUAAAACAUAAUUGCAAUUAUAUAUAUCGAAAAUAAUUUUAAAUUAGAUUAAACUUUUUAUUAUUUUUAAUUUUUUAAAAAAUACAUAAAAAAGGU